GACGAACCGUGCGAACGUUAUUCGGAAUCACUGGGCUUAAAGCGCGUGUAGGCGGGACGGCACGUCGGUCGCUGAAAUCCCCCGGCUCAACCGGGGAACGGGCGCCGAUACGACCGGCCUGGAGGGGCGUAGGGGGACCUGGAACCUCCGGUGGAGCGGUGAAAUGCGUUGAGAUCGGAAGGAACGCCCGUGGCGAAAGCGAGGUCCUGGACGCCUACUGACGCUGAGACGCGAAAGCCAGGGGAGCGAACGGG
rnacentral:rRNA from 1 species